UUAUGUUUCAGUAACAAUACGUAUACCAAAAAGAAUAAGUGUCUGUCAAGGACUCUGCUUAGGUGCUACUCAAGAAAAUUAAUUUAAUUUGGCAGAGGAACAAUGGGAAAAAGAUUUAGAGGCUGAAUUAAAGGAUUACGAAGUGGUUAGUGAAAGUGGUGGUGAUGGAGGCGGCGGCAUUGGUACAUUAACAAGUAUCAAUAUUGGUGCGGAUACUGACGACGAAUUACCGACAAUAUCAAAUCUGCGCACACGUUCAACAAACAACGACUGGGAAGAAAUGGCCGAUCUCAUUGAAGAUACCGAUGAUUUAAAAACUUUAAAAAGCUUAAAACGUGUUAUGCUGGGUUAUCAAUGAGAUCAGGGGUUUUUUACAAUUUUUUAGUUCACAUAUUUUUAUAAUAAAAUA